rnacentral:rRNA from 1 species
AGGUUAAGCGACUAAGCGUACACGGUGGAUGCCCUGGCAGUCAGAGGCGAUGAAGGACGUGCUAAUCUGCGAUAAGCGUCGGUAAGGUGAUAUGAACCGUUAUAACCGGCGAUUUCCGAAUGGGGAAACCCAGUGUGUUUCGACACACUAUCAUUAACUGAAUCCAUAGGUUAAUGAGGCGAACCGGGGGAACUGAAACAUCUAAGUACCCCGAGGAAAAGAAAUCAACCGAGAUUCCCCCAG